GAUGAACGCUGGCGGCGUGCUUAACACAUGCAAGUCGAACGGAAAGGCCCAAGCUUGCUUGGGUACUCGAGUGGCGAACGGGUGAGUAACACGUGGGUGAUCUGCCCUGCACUUCGGGAUAAGCCUGGGAAACUGGGUCUAAUACUGGAUAGGACCACUUCUUGGAUGUUGUGGUGGAAAGUUUUUUCGGUGUGGGAUGAGCUCGCGGCCUAUCAGCUUGUUGGUGGGGUAAUGGCCUACCAAGGCGUCGACGGGUAGCCGGCCUGAGAGGGUGUACGGCCACAUUGGGGCUGAGAUAAGGCCCAGAAUCCUACGGGAGGCAGCAGUGGGGAAUAUUGCACAAUGGGGGCAAGCCUGAUGCAGCGACGCCGCGUGGGGGAUGAAGGGCUUCGGGUUGUAAACUCCUUUCGCUAGGGACGAAGCGUUGUGUGACGGUACCUGGAGAAGAAGCACCGGCUAACUACGUG
rnacentral:rRNA from 1 species